GAGCGGAUUGAUGGGAGCUUGYUCCCWUCWUUCAGCGGCGGACGGGKGAGUAACACGKGGGUAACCKSCCKGUAAGAYUGGGAUAAYUCCGGGAAACCGGGGYUAAUMCCGGAUAAYUCAUUUCCUSSCAKGAGGAAAUGUKGAAAGAKGGYUUYGGCUAUCACUUACAGAUGGACCCGCGGCGCAUUAGCUAGUUGGUGAGGUAACGGCUCACCAAGGCAACGAUGCGUAGCCGACCUGAGAGGGUGAUCGGCCACACUGGGACUGAGACACGGCCCAGACUCCUACGGGAGGCAGCAGUAGGGAAUCUUCCGCAAUGGACGAAAGUCUGACGGAGCAACGCCGCGUGAGUGAUGAAGGUUUUCGGAUCGUAAAACUCUGUUGUUAGGGAAGAACAAGUACCGUUCGAAUAGGGCGGUACCUGACG
rnacentral:rRNA from 1 species